GAAACGUUUUUCUAAUCUCCAGGAGAUUGGGUCUGUUUAAGAAUCCCAGCAAAUUACCAGAACCUGGCCCACCUGUCCUCCCGCUCCACCUGACCACCAAAUGAAUUCCGAGGGGAGGUCACUAAUAAGAAACACACCCACACCCUCGUGCCGGGGCCAGGCUGCCAAGCUGACACUUAGCGAGCAAGUACGGACCUCUCCUCACAGGCUCCAGCGGGAGAGGCUCCUGGAAGGGCGCGAGCCAGGAAGGCAGAGAAAACGAAGAGAUGAAGACUGCAUGGGGUAGUUGUUGAAAAGGCUUGGAUCACCCCCAGCCCCGUCUUGUUCGGCCCCAAAAGGCCCAUCCCUGCUGAGCUACUCACACUUUGUACGGCAGCCGCGGAUCCGACGUCAGCGUGAUCUUAAAAGAAACCUUCGACCUGAGGAAAAGAGUGGAAGAGAGUCAGGGUUGGACAACAGGACCAGGGAUGAAGGCGGUCGAUUGAUGUCAGAAGUGGGAUUCAGAGUGGGACUCCAGUGACUCCCAGGAGCACGAAGUGACCUACAGAUGAUAGAAACUUCAUUGGCUUUGGCAAAGAAGAAAUUUAUUAGCUUACAAGGCCCCAUCUUGUCCAUGCACCUGUCUGCUUCCUUGGCUUCAGAGCAUUGCCUCCAAAUCCUCUACAGCACAACUUCCUCCUCAGCAUCCAGCCUUAUGAUGUACUGGGAUACUGUGUUGCCCCACUCUCCUUACUACCUGUGCUGGGCUUUGAGGCUGACAUCAUUACACCUGUAAACCACAGGAGUGAAGAGAAGAUGAGGCAAUUGGAACAGGAUUAAAUUGACUUGUCCAACCUGCUAGUAUGUGGCAGAAGUCUGGUUUCAAACCCAUUGACUAGGACUCAAGAGUCUGUGUAGAUUGCCAUUCUGCCAUUCCUUCUCUCUUCAUAUCAUUGAAAUGUAUGAUGAGUUACAAUCAUUUCAAAUAAACAUGUAACCCAUUUUAUGUCAUACAUGUUUUCUUAAAAUGUUAAAUAGCCUAUUUUUUCACAAACUUUAUUACAUUUUUGAUGCACUAGAAAUGCAGGAUAGCUAAUGAAACAAUGAUAAAGUCUCUCUGAAAAGGAUAGCUUUUUCCUUUAGGAGUCAUACUUUUUAUUUUUGAGUUGAUAUCUAGAGGAUCUGUUUAAAACAAGAUACAUCAAAGAUCAUGAUAGAACUAAUGACCUAGUUGUAUCGAUACAGUAAUUGGUACCCAGAGCCCUCACUGCUUAAAAGAAAAUGAAAAGAAAAUAGUGAUGCACUUCGCUCAUGUUGGUGCUUCAGCUGGACUUGAAAUGCAAUAGAAGAACAAAGCUUUAUUACUAAAGUGGAGAGAUGUGAGGCUAUCUCAAAAAAAAAUCCUGGUAAAUAUUUAAAAUGUCAAGAUUUUGUGAUCAUAAAGACACUACUGUUGACUGACAAAGGUGAGCAAUGGUGUUCAAAACUAUUUCCUACCCUCACUUCUGGUAGUUUCUACAGUCAUUUAAUAGAAACCCCACAGCUUUUAACAGGCAAGCCUUUCUUUGGGAAAUCGCAGUUUUACAUUGCUAUUUACUCAUCUCAUUUUGUUCUUAGGGAGACCAAGUGAAACAUAUUUACUUUGUUUUUAAGUUGACUAUAGAUGUCCAUACAUUCCACCAUUAUUUUGACCAGGAAACAAUUUGUAAGUGCUCAUCUUUUUCAUUUCUUCAUUACCUUUAUUCUGAAAUAAGAAGAAUCCUAAAAGAUGGGUGAUAUAUUUAUAUAAGCUUCUUGUGUAUAAAUGAGCUGUGAACUCCAGGCACCACAGCUCAUUCUCUAGUUGAAAUUCUAGAAUAUAACUUUGCCAGCCAACUUUUAUCAUUGUGUGUGUGUGUGUGUGAGCACACCCUCACGUGUCUGCUAACUUUGUAAUUUUCAUGAAAGCAUUGCUAUCAAGUUGGCUCAAAGCAUCUGUUACUUUAAGGAGAGCUCAGCCAGAGAGGGCUCGGAGAGCUCAGCCAGGAGAGCUCAGCCAGAACUCCAGUUACAUGCUUCAACAUGUACCAGUCUUGUUUCAUUUACUGUCCCAAUAAACCUCUCUUCAUCACCAUUGGAUUAAUUUAAAAUGACUCAAAGGUAUUAUAUAAUCUGAAAGUAUUCCAUUUCUAAGAUACAAGAAUUCUUUCAUAUCAUGUACAAUCUUGUCAGUGUUGUAAAAUUUCUCUUUUAUAAUUGCAGUGUUUGUGUUCAGUUGAUAUGUCUUUUAUGUCUUUUUAAAUCAAUGCAUUUGUAAAGUUAAGCCAAAUCAUUGAUUUUAUAAUAUUUUUCUACAUUCUAGUCUGCUAACUGAAUCUCUCUUGUAUCUUUGACAAUUUCCUUCAUUCUUUUAUGUUUCCUACAGAUUGGAAGCCAGAAUAAGUGCUUGUCCAGAUUCAGAUUUGAUUGUUUUUGUGAAGAAUCAUUCAUAGAUGGUGCUGUAUACUUCCUAUGGCAUUGCAUCAGGAUA